rnacentral:rRNA from 1 species
CCAAACCUGGUUGAUCCUGCCAGUAGUCAUAUGCUUGUCUCAAAGAUUAAGCCAUGCAUGUCUAAGUAUAAACAACUUUAUACAGUGAAACUGCGAACGGCUCAUUAUAUCAGUGAUUAUUUCUUUGAUGGUACUUCACUACAUGGAUAACUGUAGUAAUUCUAGAGCUAAUACAUGCGUACGGUCUCGACUCUU